AGUGAACGCUGGCGGUAGGCCUAACACAUGCAAGUCGAGCGGCAGCACAGUAAGAGCUUGCUCUUACGGGUGGCGAGUGGCGGACGGGUGAGGAAUACAUCGGAAUCUACUUUUUCGUGGGGGAUAACGUAGGGAAACUUACGCUAAUACCGCAUACGACCUACGGGUGAAAGCAGGGGAUCUUCGGACCUUGCGCGAUUGAAUGAGCCGAUGUCGGAUUAGCUAGUUGGCGGGGUAAAGGCCCACCAAGGCGACGAUCCGUAGCUGGUCUGAGAGGAUGAUCAGCCACACUGGAACUGAGACACGGUCCAGACUCCUUCGGGAGGCAGCAGUGGGGAAUAUUGGACAAUGGGCGCAAGCCUGAUCCAGCCAUACCGCGUGGGUGAAGAAGGCCUUCGGGUUGUAAAGCCCUUUUGUUGGGAAAGAAAAGCGGCAGGUUAAUACCCCGCUGUUCUGACGGUACCCAAAGAAUAAGCACCGGCUAACUUCGUG
rnacentral:rRNA from 1 species